rnacentral:rRNA from 1 species
GAUGAACGCUGGCGGCGUGCCUAAUACAUGCAAGUCGAGCGAAGCGGGGACGGGUGAGUAACACGUGGAUAACCUCCUAUAAGACUGGGAUAACUUCGGGAAACCAGAGCUAAACCGGAUACUUAUAGUUGGAUUCGCGCUGAAUUGGCUGUUUGGUAAGUUAACGGCUUACCAAGGCAACGUUGCAUAGCCGACCGGAGAGGGUGUUCGCCCAACCUGGAACUGGGCCACGGUCCAGAUUCCUCCGGGAGGCAGCAGUAGGGAAUCUUCCGCAAUGGGCGAAAGCCUGACGGAGAAACGCCGCGUGGUGGAUGAAGGUUUUCGGUUGGAAAGCCUCUGUUAUUAGGGAAGCGGUACCUAAUCAGAAAGCCACGGCUAACUACGUGCCAGCAGCCGCGGUAAUAC